ACGUAGGACACAAGCGUUAUCCGGAGUUACUGGGCGUAAAGGGCGCGUAGGCGGCUGUUCAAGUCGGGGGUGAAAGCCUGUGGCUCAACCACAGAAUUGCCUUCGAUACUGGACGGCUCGAGACCGGAAGAGGUCAGUGGAACUGCGAGUGUAGAGGUGAAAUUCGUAGAUAUUCGCAAGAACACCAGUGGCGAAGGCGGCUGACUGGUCCGGUUCUGACGCUGAGGCGCGAAAGCGUGGGGAGCAAACAGGA
rnacentral:rRNA from 1 species